AGUGAACGCUGGCGGUAGGCCUAACACAUGCAAGUCGAACGGCAGCACAGUAAGAGCUUGCUCUUACGGGUGGCGAGUGGCGGACGGGUGAGGAAUACAUCGGAAUCUACUUUUUCGUGGGGGAUAACGUAGGGAAACUUACGCUAAUACCGCAUACGACCUACGGUUGAAAGCAGGGGAUCUUCGGACCUUGCGCGAUUGAAUGCGCCGAUGUCGGAUUAGCUGGUUGGCGGGGUAAAGGCCCACCAAGGCGACGAUCCGUAGCUGGUCUGAGAGGAUGGUCAGCCACACUGGAACUGAGACACGGUCCAGACUCCUACGGGAGGCAGCAGUGGGGAAUAUUGGACAAUGGGCGCAAGCCUGAUCCAGCCAUACCGCGUGGGUGAAGAAGGCCUUCGGGUUGUAAAGCCCUUUUGUUGGGAAAGAAAAGCAGCAGGUUAAUACCCCACUGUUCUGACGGUACCCAAAGAAUAAGCACCGGCUAACUUCGUG
rnacentral:rRNA from 1 species